GAAUGAAUGAAUUAGUAAAGGAAUGGACUGAAGUCUCUGGAGCACACUUCUACCAAUGGAAUGCCUCUCUAAAGGAAAUGGAACUGACUUUAGGGUUGGUGCCUGUGGAAGAUUCUCCCCUAUCUCUUCUUCCUAUUGAUUCACGGAACCUCCAUCCCUGCCCAAUACUGCAGCUGGAAUAGGUUGAAUAAUGGCCACCCAAAGAUAUCCCUGGAACCUGAAAAUGUUGCCUAAUUUGGAUAAAGGGUCUUUACAGAUAUGAUUAAGUUAAGGAUCUUGAGAUGGAGAAGUUACCCUGGAUUAUCUGGCUCUUGCCAUAUGCCAUUUCAGGUAGAAGCUUCCAUUCCAGCAAAUAAAGGGAAACUGAAAAAGAGCUAUGCCAAACCAAAUUCUUAGUCAACCACAUCAUGGACUGAGAAGAUGUGAAAAUCAUGUGACAAAGAUUCUAAAUGGGUGGCAAGCUCAAGUGCCUACUAUGAGUGAAGCUGGCAGGGCAGGGACUGAGGUGAACUGGAGUGAGGUGUGAGGUGAACUAGGUGCCCAUCUUUCCAAUGGGGGAGCAGCCU